rnacentral:rRNA from 1 species
GCCAGUCGAGGGGUAACAUGAGUGCUUGCACUCGCUUACUACCGGCGCACGGGUGCGUAACGCGUAUAGAACUUACCUUUUACAGAGGGAUAGCCUUUAGAAAUGAAGAUUAAUACCUCAUAGUAUUGAAACUUGGCAUCAAGAUUUAAUUAAAGAUUUAUCGGUAAAAGAUGGCUAUGCGUCCUAUUAGCGAGAUGGUAAGGUAACGGCUUACCAUGGCUACGAUAGGUAGGGGCCCUGAGAGGGGGAGC